rnacentral:rRNA from 1 species
GACGAACGCUGGCGGCGUGCCUAAUACAUGCAAGUAGAACGCUGAAGAGAGGAGCUUGCUCUUCUUGGAUGAGUUGCGCACGGGUGAGUAACGCGUAGGUAACCUGCCUUGUAGCGGGGGAUAACUAUUGGAAACGAUAGCUAAUACCGCAUAACAAUAGGUGACACAUGUCAUUUAUUUGAAAGGGGCAAUUGCUCCACUACAAGAUGGUCCUGCGUUGUAUUAGCUAGUAGGUGAGGUAACGGCUCACCUAGGCGACGAUACAUAGCCGACCUGAGAGGGUGAUCGGCCACACUGGGACUGAGACACGGCCCAGACUCCUACGGGAGGCAGCAGUAGGGAAUCUUCGGCAAGGGGGGCAACCCUGACCGAGCAACGCCGCGUGAGGGAAGAAGGUUGUCGGAUCGUAAAGCUCUGUUGUAAGUCAAGAACGAGUGUGAGAGUGGAAAGUUCACACUGUGACGGUAGCUUACCAGAAAGGGACGGCUAACUACGUG